rfam:Fukomys damarensis contig101604, whole genome shotgun sequence.
GGGAAACGGAAGGAGGGGCCAGCCCCAGGCUCCAUAUCAAACUUUUGGGGCA